UGCCCAGCAACUCCUAUCCCUACCUCCUCGUAUUGGCCGGGGUACGAGCAACCUUAGGGAAGAUCGGGUAACCAACCCCGUUGGGAACAUGGAUCGUUUGUCGACAGAGAAGG
rnacentral:ribozyme from 1 species